UCGAGAAUUUUUCACAAUGGGCGCAAGCCUGAUGGAGCGACGCCGCGUGGGGGAUGAAGGGCUUCGGCUUGUAAACCCCUGUCAUUUGCGAACAAAGGCGCCAACCUAACACGUUGUCGUCUGAUAGUAGCAGAAGAGGAAGGGACGGCUAACUCUGUGCCAGCAGCCGCGGUAAUACAGAGGUCCCAAGCGUUGUUCGGAUUCACUGGGCGUAAAGGGUGCGUAGGUGGUGGACUAAGUCUGGUGUGAAAUCUCCGGGCUCAACCCGGAGGGUGCGCCCGAAACUGGUUCGCUGGAGGAUGGGAGGGGAGACUGGAAUUCUCGGUGUAGCAGUGAAAUGCGUAGAUAUCGAGAGGAACACCGGUGGCGAAGGCGAGUCUCUGGACCAUUCCUGACACUGAGGCACGAAAGCCGGGGGAGCAAACAGGAUUAGAUACCCUGGUAGUCCCGGCCCUAAACGGUGCGCAUUUGCUGUGGGCGGAAUCGA
rnacentral:rRNA from 1 species